UAAAUGUUUGCAAAUUUUUAAAAAUGUUUGCAAAUAAUAUAAAAUAUUCAUGAAUUUGAAAAAUAUCCUUAAUUUUUGAAAUUGAUCAAAAAUUUGUAGAGUGUUCAUGAACUUGAAAAAUGACCACGGUUUCAAAUAUGUUUAUGCGUUUAAAAUGUGUUCAUGAUUUCACAAAAUUGAGAGUGGUAUUGUAUCUGGGUAAUGCAGCAAAAUGUGAUCGUAGGCAUUAAAGAUUAUAAAAAAAAAUCCCGUUGCAACGCACGGGCCCUUUUGCUAGUAAUAAUAAAGUACGGAUUGAGUCUCUGGGUUCACCAUCGCGACGUUUUUCAAAAAACGUCUCUGUGAUUUAGGGUAAUACAACCCGCAGUCCACAAUUAAGUGAAAAACGUUUCGUUCGGCAUGUUUUUCAGAAAAACACCUCAUAUUUUACAUAAUCAUCCCGCAGUCCACGAUUAAGUGAAAAACGUUUCGUUCGGCAUGUUUUUCAGAAAAACACCUCAUAUUUUACAUAAUCAGCCCGCAGUCCAUCAACACCUCUUUCCUCCUGAGUCAGGUUCCGAGCGAGAUGGGGUCGCGAUCCAGACAACGCUGGGCGCGGCGGCGGCGAUCUCCGGCCAGAUCCGGUCGAGGAGUCGAGGCAGGUCCGGAUCCUGUUUAGGGGACGGUGUGGAGGCGAUCUACGAAGCGCGGGAGGAGGUCAGGCGGCGGGGCUUGAACUCCAAGUUCAUGGCGGCGGCGUUCCUCGCCGGUUCCGACCGAGAUGGGGAGCUCUGGCGGAGUCUCUCCAUGGAUAUGGUGGCCCUGCACCUGUGAGGGACAGAGGGGAGGAGAGGACGCGAGAAGCGGCGGGAAAGUUCUGGUGGUGCCCGUCUCCUGCAACAGCUCUCUUGAGUACGGUCAGAGAGAGAGAGCCGGGAGGAAGAAGGAAAGGAAGGAGACUUCAGGAAGGGGCGGCGGGAUCCUGCGGGGCUGGGUUGGAGCCCCGGUGGUAGCUUGCUCCGGUGGUGCUACUGCUGCUGCUGGACGACAGCCGAUGGGACAAGGCCUAGGUAAGAGGAAAAACAUGUGCUGCAUUGACACAUUUGAUGCAGAGCAGCCACUGUAAGUUCCUCUCCCUUCUCUAAUUAGUAUUGAGAUUCCAUUGAUAUUUGAUGGAGAGCAGCCACCAAAAGUUCCUCUUUUGAUGCACCGAAAACAGCUCUCUCUCUAAUUUAUUCUCAGCUACAGAAUGACAUGUAUCUAUGCUACUUACUAAUGUGAUGGAUAAUGCAUGUGGAUUGAUUCAUGAAUUAGCAAAAUAUUUCAUUUGAGAUGUGCUAGAGAACGGUUUUGAUCUAACUGAAUAAUACAAAGUAUUUUAGUUCUGAUGGUAAUAGACGAGCAACUUUAGUUGUAUUUGGUUUCAGUUUUUGUUUUCAGUAUAUGUUGGUCAGGAUUCAACUUUGUUUAUGUCCAUGUUUUGCUGGUAUAAUGCAUCACCAAGCUUUCUUUUUGUAUGAUGAUAUUGUGUAAAUCAGCAUAUGGAUGUGGAAAAUAUUCUUAGCGGCAUUAGCCUAGACAAGGAUGUUGAUGGUUAAUUGUUUACAUCCCUUAAACAUUGGUAAUGUUGCCCUUAGAAGCUGGAAACCUAUGAUUGUUUCUUGCGCUACAAUAUGGAUUUAUCUCAUGGAAAGCACGCGUGGUGAAAGAAAGUGAUCUGUCCUAACCAGGAAGACAACACUGAGGGUGGCGGAUGUUUGCUAUGAGGUGGUGUAUGUACGUGCUACACCUCAUGGCCGUGGCCUGCUUCCUGCAAGCCAAUUUACUGCUUCUUCCGAGGUCAUAUAGUGAUGCUAUGGCACUGAGAAUCUGAAGGUUAGUAAUUCUAUUCUAUUCUUCUCUAUUAAGAACAGUGUUAUUUUUCAUGAUUUAGUGACUGCUGAGUGCUAAUAAAUUAAUUCAAUCAUAUUGGGCCAUCUGUUAUAGAGCUAAACGAACCAUCUGAAGUGGGAUGCAUUGCAUUUUCCCAACAGAAUUUACAGUAGCACCAAGAAGGGUUGUGUCCAUCAUCCUCAUCAUGUCCGAUCUAGGCCGCCGGAGCACCAAGUCGCUGGCCUAUUCUAACAAGUCCAGGCCCUCGAGGCAGCCCUUCUCGCCGUGGAAGGAGACCCCGAUCUGUAGGAACGUCGGGCAUGGUCCCGUAAUUAACAACAAGACUCUCCUCUGUCCAUCCGCAUAACUCCCAUGAAGAAAAAUCUCUAAACUCCAGUCACCACCUUUAUGUCGAUCUAAGCGGUGGAGAGUUUGGUAUGGUGGCAAAUCAAGCAACUGCGGAUGGAGUCAUUCCAUGUUACUGCAUUGAGUUAGCAUACGCGGCAUGGAUGAUAGAUCAAACCCAAGUGAUUUGGUUAUUUAGAACAAAAUCUAAGACUUGACCAAAUGAAAUUGGUAUUUUGUUGAACUGAACGACACACAUAUUGCCUAACCAUAAUUAUGUUACCUAUCACGACCUCAUGUGCUCCUGAAGCAAGCUGAUGUGUGUUGUGUGUACACGUUGUACACUGAAUUGUUCAUGCGAAAAGAUACAGCAGUAGAUACAAUCUACGCCAUGGAGCCGCUGGUGGGGCUCGAUGAGGACGAGCGCUAGAAGGAGGUGUGCAUGAUGCCCAAACGUGGCGUCGAGGCCUUCCACAUCCGCACCCAAGCCGCGUCACUACCAAGCUGCUACAAGCAUACAGGGCCUUCCGUGUUCAAGCUGAAAAGGCAAGAAGAUCUCAUUAUUAACAUGGAUAAAAAAGGUGGAACGUCUUCUUCAGUAGAAUUACACAAUGGUUGGCUGAAGCUUUGGAUUGCUAAAGUACCAAGAAAGGUAAAAAUCCAUCUUUGGUGUAUUUAUUUUCAGAGAAUUUAUGUUGGAGAUGAGCUUAAGAGAAGAAAGUAUAUAGAUAUGGUAAGUUGUCCUUACUGCUUCAAGGGGGAAGCAUUUAUCACUGCUUUUGGGGUUGUAUUUAUGUCAGAUUCCUGGAGGAAGCUGUUAGUAAUUUGUGAUUUCUCGUGAUCUAAAAUUGUCGAUCGGAAAUUUUCUUCAUCGAAGCCCAUUCCAAUCGCCAACAAUUCUGUUUGCACACUCAGGUUUGUGCUUUUCUAUGGUGAUUUAUUAAACAUACUUUGGCUUAUGAUCCCCUUUGACGUACACUUGUGCCCUCCACUACACAUUAUUUUCAGUUUGCCAAAUACUGUAGUAGGUAAUGAACUACAGAAAGCGGAUUGUUGAGUUUACCAAGCAUAAUGGCACACCUAAUUUUGGCAAAUCACCUGAAGAGUAUUUCAAGCAAAGAUGCGUUGAGAUUUUCACAUGACUAUAUGAGGCCAUAAACUCAUGUAUUGCCACAAUAGCUUCUUUUAAUGCAAUAGGGAAUUGUCUUUUUUUGUAUCAGGUAAAUAGUUCCUUUCUCACACUUUUUUCAGACCGAGAUCGUGUGCUGCUGCUGUGCGGUGUUCUAUUUCUGCUGUAUUCUUUUUGCUUUUUUGGGGGGCUUCUUCUCAUUCUUCUUUGGCACCUACGCUCUACUUGGGGAAACUUUGUACAUGGCAAUACAUAGAUUGGUAUUGAGAUUUGGAGCAAUUUUGUUCGUUUUCCUGUGUACCGAUGUUGCCAUUAUUUGUGCGAUGAUGCCAUUAUAUUGUACAAAGGGAAGAGACAGUUAGAGAGAUGGAUAGAAAUUACUAGCUACUGUAUUUGUGUUGUAAUUGUUUAUUAUUAAAGCUUAUUGUUUAUUGGUUGU